GCGUUCCGUUCCGGGCCGAGGCUCGCGGCGGAAAAGUUGCGGUGCAUAGAGGAGCGGCCCCGGGACGGGCAGCUAGCGCGACCCUGAGCCGGCGCCCGUGGUCCGGCCAUGGACGACCUCGGUUGCCCUUUUCACGGUUUGUUCAUAUUCUACCCAGAAAAGACUUAGGAGACUUAGGAGAAGUCAGUACUUUGCAUCCUACCUACACUGCUCUCCUUGGAGAAGGACCUUAUUCUGGAUUUUACAGAGCAAAUCAGAUUUGAUGUUUGUAGCUUCCAAUGUGCUAUGGAGCUUCCUCCUGCAGAGUGACUUGGGUCUGGAGACCCUGAUAUUUGCAACUGAUGUUUGCAGCUUCCAGUGUACCUGCUAGCCCUUAUAAACCUCACACCAGUACUUUGAGGUCAGAGUUAUUCAAGAACUUACUGAGAAAACAGGCCCUGAGAAGCUAAGCGAUUUGCCCUGUGGCAUGGAUAGUAGAGAGGGGAGCUGGCGCUUGAACUCAGGUCUGGCUCGACCUCAGAAUGAGUGAUCUUGUGUCUCUGUGCCCCAGAACUGCAUCCUUUCACCGGUACUUCACCAACCUA
rnacentral:sRNA from 1 species